AGAGUUUGAUCAUGGCUCAGAACGAACGCUGGCGGCAUGCCUAACACAUGCAAGUCGAACGAGGUUUCCGCUUCGGUGGGACCCUAGUGGCGCACGGGUGAGUAACGCGUGGGAACCUGCCCUGUGGUACGGAAUAACUCCGGGAAACUGGAGCUAAUACCGUAUGCGUCCUGCGGGACAAAGAUUUAUCGCCAUGGGAUGGGCCCGCGUAGGAUUAGCUUGUUGGUGGGGUAACGGCCUACCAAGGCAACGAUCCUUAGCUGGUCUGAGAGGAUGAUCAGCCACACUGGGACUGAGACACGGCCCAGACUCCUACGGGAGGCAGCAGUGGGGAAUAUUGGACAAUGGGCGCAAGCCUGAUCCAGCAAUGCCGCGUGAGUGAUGAAGGCCUUCGGGUUGUAAAGCUCUUUCGCACGCGACGAUGAUGACGGUAGCGUGAGAAGAAGCCCCGGCUAACUUCGUGCUAGCAGCCGCGGUAAUUC
rnacentral:rRNA from 1 species